GGAGGUAUAGCUUAGUGGUACAACGCUUACUUAGCAUGCACGAGGUCCUGAGUUCAAUCCCCAGUACCUCCA
rnacentral:tRNA from 1 species